UACAGAGGGUGCGAGCGUUAAUCGGAAUACUGGGCGUAAAGCGUGCGCAGGCGGUUUUGUAAGCCAGAUGUGAAAUCCCCGGGCUUAACCUGGGAAUGGCAUUUGGGACUGCAAGGCUUGAGUGCGGCAGAGGAGACUAGAAUUCCUGGUGUAGCAGUGAAAUGCGUAGAUAUCAGGAGGAAUACCGAUGGCGAAGGCAGGUCUCUGGGCUGACACUGACGCUCAUGCGCGAAGCGUGGGAGCAAACAGG
rnacentral:rRNA from 1 species